AAAGACUUACAUAUAACGAUUCUCCUUAAGCCAGCGAGUGAUAUCAUCCAGUGAUUUGUCGAUGAAACUUGAAUUAGCAGAAAUAGUGUCCAAAGAUUGUUGAAGUGCACGUUCAUACAACUUCGUAUCUUUAUCGGCAAAAAAUUCCUUAAUUUUAUCAAUAGCGGAGGCAUGAGUGAAUCCACUUGUUACGAAUCUCACAACGUAGCCACGCAUUGUACCAGCAACAGGAAGUCUUGAAAGCAACUUAUCCCAGUUAGAAGUAGCAAACUUCCACAUUGCCAAAACACCGUUUUUGUGAGUACUCAAUGUAACCAAAAUAAGAUAAAUAUCUUGUUCCUUGACAAUAGGGUCAAGGGUUAAAUCCAAAGUUUUUUGAAUAUACUUUUCAUCUUCAGUAACACCAAAGGCUCUCAAACAACUAUUACGGACAUAAGGAUCAUUAGUUUUAGUAUAAAUUUCAAGAAGUUGAUCCCACGACUUAGCACCACCAUAACGAAUUGCAAUGUUAAAUACGGCGGAUCUCAAAUUAUCAUUAAUGGCGGACUUAUUACCAGACGCGUAAGCAUCAAACUUGGAAAGUGCAUCCUUAACCACCUUAUCAUCACCAAACAAACCGGCAUAAUUGUAUACUGUACUCUUAAAUUGGCGAAUGAUAUGAUCGUCAUUUGCCUUGAAUUCCCAGCCGAGUGAAUGGGCUUUAGUAGCAGAAACCUCCAGAACUAACUUUUUCAUUGCAGCAAUGAUAUCAGAACUUUCGAAACGUAAAGUGGACUUUAUACCAUUCAAGCGGGCAAGCAUCUCAGCAAAGACUACAAAGUUAGGCUCGUCUUUCCAAGUUUUGAUAAGAUCUAAAGUGCUGCUAACUUUACCGUAGCCAGCUCUCGAGAGAGAAGCGACGUCGGCAAUUAAACCAGCACGAUCCUCGACACUAAGAUAAUCUGGCUUUUCAACCGCAAUUUGAGAUAACUUCUUUAAAUGAUCGGCAGAAUAGUUAACACGGUAGAUACCAGAUUGUUCAGAGUUUAGCUUAUAAGAUUCGAGAGCCUCUUUAUCAACUUUAAUUUUCUUGGAUCGGUCUGAAAGCACAGCUUUUUCAUCAACAACUGCUUUACCAUCCUUCAUCGUUUUAAGUUUUAAGGGGGCCCAAUAAAUUACAGUAUCUUCUUCGGGUUUAACGUCUCCUGUUGACAAAAAUCGAUGUUGCUCAAUUAAAAGCUCUCCAUCAUUGGUUUCAGAAACGGAUAGCACGGGAUAACCUGUCUUCUUAGUCCAAUUGUGCAUAGUGGAAGAGAUGUCCUGACCUGAUUCUGCCGACAAGGCAGCCCAUAAGUCUUCCGUAACUGUGUUACCAUAACGGUGCUUAGAAAUGUAUUUUUGAAUACCCUUAAUAAACGUAUCUUCGCCAACAUACUUGCUAACCAUGCGGAUAACACAAGAACCUUUAGAGUAAGAGAUAGCGUCAAAUAUUUGGUUAAUUUCGUAAUCGUGCAUAAUGGGAACUUCAAUAGGAUGACUGGAACGAAGUGCAUCCAACGAAAGAGCAGAUUGAAGGUUGUCUG